rnacentral:rRNA from 1 species
CUAACAUGUGUGCGAGUCAAUGGGUCUCGAAUAAGCCCAGAGGCGCAAUGAAAGCAAAGGCCGGACAUGACGCCGGCUGUGUUGGGAUCUCUCCGCCUACGAGCGGGGAGCGCACCAACGACCCGUCCUGUCCGAUUUAUCGGUGGGGCGGAGUCUGAGCAUACACGUUGGGACCCGAAAGAUGGUGAACUAUGCCCGGACAGGACGAGGCCAGAGGAAACUCUGGUGGAGGUCCGUAGCGGUUCUGACGUGCAAAUCGAUCGUCAGAUCCGGGUCUAGGGGCGAAAGACUAAUCGAACCAUCUA